rnacentral:rRNA from 1 species
CACCCCUGCGACACUUACGCAAGAAUUUGGGAGGGCUCGGUGCUUGGUCGAGUGAGAGUGGUGGUGUCGUUGUGUCGUUUUGAUCGGUCUUUGCAAUGCCUCCCGACGGAGCAAGCCGAGAGGUCUGCGCAAGUUCGCCCACGUCUACCCCACAGGCCCGUCCGCUACGUUCGUACCUUAAUUCCCUCCUCGCAGCCGCACUAAGGUCCACCCCACAGGCACGUGGAUCGUACGUAAGCGUACGCCCAAGGUAAACUUACGUCUCUCUUCCACAUACGUGACCCUUCGCAGAGCGCGCCGCGACAGCCGGUUGCGUGGCGAAAUAACAACCGAGGUCAUUCUCCAGUGCAGACGAAACUCGGCCGUACUUCUCCUUCUCGCAAAACCCAUCCGCCCCAACAGCCUGCCCGCGCAUGUGCGGUCGUCAUACCUACGGGCGUUUCGGAGAGGGGCGCGACAAUCGAAGGUAAAACGCCAUGUUUCCUGCAGAUAGGCCAGGCGCCUGCCUACGUUCUAUACAACCUACCGUUUUGUACAUGCUUGGCGUGCCAGGACUGCCUACGUCCCAAAACUCCCAGUCGCAACCUAUACGGGAAUCUAUUUCAACACUGCUCAAUUUAAAGAAUGCAACUUUUGGCUACUAGGUCGUAAAAAAAUAGUGUAGUUGUCGCAGCUGCAUGCGUACCUUCCGUACAGCACAGAACCAACUUCGACAGGAUCGCCACCAUCACGGCUCAGAUUCUCGUAGAGGUCGGCGCAGGAGUUGUCCGGGAAGGGUCCGCAAAAACGGCGCGGCCGCGGGUUUUUUACUGGAUCAGCGCAGGGGUCAUCGGGCAAAAAGCGGCCGAGCCCGGCUUUGACCACGGCCGCUUGGGUUCGGCUUGGGCCGCGCGACCCCGCGGACCCCCGUGGCCGUGUUCGCUUUUCCCCGCACCCAGGCCGCACAGCCACUCAGCUCGCGGAGAAGGGCGGCAAAGAAGGGCGAAAAGGGGGUGAAGGGAGGGUAAGAGAUGUAAGGAGGGCGGUUAGAAGGAGAGCGAGCGGAGGGUCGGCCGGCGGUACGGUGGCUUCUUCAUGCAGCAGGGGGCGCGGCGCCGUUGGCGCUGGCGAAGGCAGCGGGUCGGCUUCGUCUCCUUCGGCUCCCACGGCGGCCGGUUCGGUGGCCCGUACUGUUUGCGGCUCACCUCCCGCCUUCAAGUAGCUGCCCUGCGACAGUGGCGGCUGGCCGCCUUGUCCCGUUAGUGGUUCUUCCGGGCACUGUUGCGCCGCGCACGCCGACGCCGAAGCCGCCUGGUUCGGCUCCGGCUCCGCUGAGCGCACCCCUACUACUUAGGUGGGCUGUCGGUGUGGGUCAUGCGUGGGACCCCUGUCGUUCCGCAGCCGAGAGGCAGCGGCGUCGGUACCCCUACGUGCGGGAGCGGCCCGAUGCGGCUGCCCCUGCGCGUGCCACCCAAGUUAGGGUUGCAGUGGAAAGGGGUACCUGUGGGCCGGGUCGCGUGCGGGAGCGGGCGGAAGCGGCCGCACGUCAUGGGAGGUAUGUUGAUGAGCAGCGGGCGGAUGCGCAGGAGGGGCUGCGGGGGAGAGGCGGCACCGUGCGACGGGAAGAGCGUGGAGCCGCUGUGGCUGCUCUGGCUCCGGCUGUACCUGCUGUAGUAGCGCAGUCCGAGCCGGCGCCGGCGGCGCAGAGGGCCCAAGCAGUGGGGCCUGCUGUGCCACCUAGAGUCGCCGCCGUACCUGCCGCUCGAGCCGAUGCAGAUGCCGCUCCUCCUCGUCCUCCUCCUUCUGCUUCUCCUCGUCCUCCUCCUCCUCCUCGGCCACUGAUAAGGCCGCUCCUCCGCGUUCUUCUUCUUCGCCCGCCGGUCCAGGCCGCUCGGCGCGUAGUUCACCCGCAGGUUCCUCGUCCUUACGGAGCGACUUCGUACCUUUCAGCAGACGGAGCUGGGCUGGUGGCCGUGCUUGGUCUCGUAGCUCUGCAUGACCCUCGCGUAGUUCCGGCUCAAGUUGCUCGCGUUCGAGCAGCUGGGGAUGAAAUUUCCGUAGAUGUACGUCGCGCCCCGCUCCGCUACCGCUUGGUAACCCCCCGAGUAGGUCCCCCGCACGUUGUUUACCGUACCCUAGCAGCUCCUCCAGCGCCGAGCGGGCCUCUCGCCGCGGUCGCAACUCCUAGUCGACGAUGCGUACAAGCGGUACAUAGCCGUCCCGUUGUUGCUGCAGCAUAAGUUCAUGGAGGUGCAAAUGUUCGCGUAACUGUUCACGCUCUUCACCCGCCUUCAGGCCGCGUGGGAACUGUUCCGGUUCCUCUGGAUGUUCGGCCUGCGCGGCUGCAGCCCGCGCAGUCUUCCCGCCGGCCUGCCGUUGUUUCCACGGUUCUUGCCCUUUGUGCGGCUGCGCCGGUGGCGAGCUCACGUCCUCAGGUAGCUCGUAACGGAGCGGCUGCGUGUCCGAGCCCGGUGGGAAGCACUUCUCUUCUGGCCCCGCGCCACCAGCCGCAACAACAGCUCGUCGCGGCAGUUCUAGCUGGAUGAGGCCUGGUUGCAGCAGCGCUUCUUCUCUUUGUGACUGGACCGAAAGGACGACCCGCCCCGCCUGUACGAGGUCUCGUUGCUGCUCCGCCAGUUCCGCACCAUGAACCGCCUCGCACCGGAGUAGGACUUGGUCGAAGGGAGCUGCUGCUGCGGGUGCGGGUGCGACGGCGGUUCGGGCUCGCUACUACGGCGGCUCUGAGGGGCGUCGUGUCUUCGGUGCGGCUGCGGCGGAUCGUGUCUCUGGGGCGGUUCGGGCGCGUGCGGCUGAGGCGGUUGCGGCCUCCAGCUGGAGCGGUAGACUACGCGUGCGCGCAGGAAAGAAGAAAAACAUGCGGCUUGACACCGGCGAACUAACGGCCUAAACACCGCAGAUAAAACACUCGCCCUUACUGAUGCAAACUUAAACAGCGCCGACCCCCCACCGCGGACCCCCGCACCGACCCUCGAUCCAGCGGGGGUCCCCGGUUAGAUCACGGCCAAGCGGGGGUCCGGCGAGAAAAAGCCGCGGAACCCCCCGACUUGCCGACCUCUACGAGAUUGCACAACCAACCCUGAACCCUGGCCCGUUGUAGUGAAGUUCUUGUCUCUGCAACAGGACAUCAUCUGCAGCUAUUAUAUGAAAUCACAUAGGGAUUAAAAAAAAAACAACAACAACAACGACGCCCCCUUGGUCAUGAGGCUACAACUACCGAAACCUAAGCAAGAGGGUGGAUAAAUUCGACAAAACGGGUCAGAACAAACGAACUGUAACAAUCGUUAAUUAAAAGAAAAAACUCUAUAUCUGUAACGGUCGUCAAUAUAACUAUCGCACCUAGCUUAGUUCAUCUAUCUUUUACACCUAACCGGCUACUGAACAUAUAAAACGUCAAUUCAGCAACGGUGAAUAGAGUUAAAUGUACAGCGGUAUCAACCUAGUAGGCAAAUGAAACGAGUAUAACGGAACAAUUAAGACCUCGAUGGAUUACGUACCUUGGUACCUGUCGCUAACUUCUAGAUUUUAUCAUUCGAUGAACGAACACCCACCUCAUUUUAUGAUGACGAGCAUCACGAUAUGGCAUCGCCGCAUCGACCGCACGUGACAGAAGAGGUCAGGAUAUAUAUCUGUUGGAAAGAACAACUUGCCUUCGUCUUCACCAUAUGAAUGCCAUCGGGGAAGUGCAAAGCAAGCGAGCUCCCGCAAGUGUUGAGGACGGUUGACGUUGGCCAUGAG